rnacentral:rRNA from 1 species
AGCCUAUCCUUGACCGAGAGGUCUGGGUAAUCUUUGAAACUGCGUCGUGAUGGGGAUAGAUUAUUGCAAUUAUUAGUCUUCAACGAGGAAUGCCUAGUAGGCGCGAUUCAUCAGAUCGCGCCGAUUACGUCCCUGCCCUUUGUACACACCGCCCGUCGCUCCUACCGAUUGGGUGUGCUGGUGAAGUGUUCGGAUUGGCAGAGCGGGUGGCAACACUUGCUUUUGCCGAGAAGUUCAUUAAACCCUCCCACCUAGAGGAAGGAGAAGUCGUAACAAGGUUUCCGUAGGUGAACCUGCGGAAGGAUCAUUGAAUUAUCAAAACCACAAUGUGAACCAGGUGUCUCAUGCUUUCGUGCAGCGCGGCGCCCUGCGCUGGCGGGCCCUGAGAUCGCACCCUCACCGGUGCUUUCUCGGGGUUAUCUGCGCGAUUGCGUGUUUUCCCACACCCAGUGAAACCACUGAGUUGUGCCUCACGGCGCAGCCAAACCAAACUCUGAAGAAACGAUUGCCAUACACUGGCGGUCACAAACGAAAACAACUCUCAACAACGGAUAUCUUGGCUCUCGCAACGAUGAAGAACGCAGCGAAAUGCGAUACGUAGUGUGAAUUGCAGAAUUCCGUGAACCAUCGAAUCUUUGAACGCAUAUUGCGCUCAAGCCCUCGGGCAAGAGCAUGUCUGCCUCAGCGUCUUUUUACCCCCUCACAUCCCUAUCCUUGGAUAGCGCCAAGCUCAUGCGGCUUGCGGAUGUGGAUUUGGCUUCCCCAAUCGGCCUUGUUGCUGAUUGGGUUGGCUGAAGUGCAGAGGCUUGAGCAAGGACCCGUUAUGGGCAUCAACUGGAUAGGUAGUGCCAGCCACCCGGCUGUCUACACGAAGUUGUUGCCUGUGGACCUUGCUGGAGGCCAGCAGGAAACACGCCUCGGCGUGAUUCAACUUUGGACCUGAGCUCAGGCAAGAUUACGGACUGAACUUAAGCAUAUCAAUAAGUCCAGGAAAAGAAACUAACCAGGAUGCGCUUAGUAACGGCGAGCGAACCGCGCAAAGCCCAACUUGUUAAUCCCCCUUGGGGAAUUGUAGUCUAUAGAUGCAUCCUCUGCGGCAGACGGAGCUCAAAUCUUCUGGAAAGGAGUGUCAGAGAGGGUGAGAACCCCGUCGGCUCUUGUCUUUGCUGCUCCACGAGGUGCUUUCGAAGAGUCGUGUUGCUUGGGAAUGCAGCACUAAUUGGG